rnacentral:rRNA from 1 species
AGCAGCCGCGGUAAUUCCAGCUCCAAUAGUGUAUAUUAAAGUUGUUGCAGUUAAAAAGCUCGUAGUUGAAUUUCGGGAUUUAUCCGUCGGUCGGGCUUUUGGGUCUGUACUGGCGUGAUGGAUUCCUACCUUCUGAAUAACCGGCAUGUCAUUAAUUUGGUGCGCCGGGGAAGCAGGACUGUUACCUUGAAAAAUUAGAGUGCUUAAAGCAGGCUUAUGCCUGAAUACAUUAGCAUGGAAUAAUGAAAUAGGACGGCAUGGUUCUAUUUUGUUGGUUUCUAGGAUCACCGUAAUGAUUAAUAGGGAUAGUUGGGGGCAUUAGUAUUCAAUUGUCAGAGGUGAAAUUCUUGGAUUUAUUGAAGCUAACUUCUGCGAAAGCAUUUGCCAAGGAUGUUUUCAUUAAUCAAGAACGAAAGUUAGGGGAUCGAAGACGAUCAGAUACCGUCGUAGUCUUAACCAUAAACUAAUGCCGACUAGGGAUCGG